UCCAUGAUCCCUGAGUGCCUAGGUGGGGCGG
rnacentral:sRNA from 1 species